rnacentral:rRNA from 1 species
UACGUAGGGUGCAAGCGUUAAUCGGAAUUACUGGGCGUAAAGCGUGCGCGGGCGGUUUUGUAAGUUUGUCGUGAAAUCCCCGGGCUUAACCUGGGAACUGCAUUUGAAACUGGCAGGCUUGAGUCUUGUAGAGGGGGGUAGAAUUCCAGGUGUAGCGGUGAAAUGCGUAGAGAUCUGGAGGAAUACCGGUGGCGAAGGCGGCCCCCUGGACAAAGACUGACGCUCAUGCACGAAAGCGUGGGGAGCAAACAGG